AUGAUAGAUGUAAUCUACAGGAUGACAGAUGUAAUCUACAGGAUGAUAGAUGUAAUCUACUCCUCUGUUAGGAUGACAGAUGUAAUCUACAGGAUGAUAGAUGUAAUCUACUCCUCUGUUAGGAUGACAGAUGUAAUCUACAGGAUGAUAGAUGUAAUCUACACCUCCAUUAGAAUGACAGAUGUAAUCUACUCCUCCGUUAGGAUGACAGAUGUAAUCUACUCCUCCGUUAGGAUGACAGAUGCAAUCUACUCCUCCGUUAGGAUGAUAGAUGUAAUCUACUCCUCUGUUAGGAUGAUAGAUGUAAUCUACAGGAUGACAGAUGUAAUCCACUCCUCCGUUAGGAUGACAGAUGUAAUCUACUCCUCUGUUAGGAUGAUAGAUGUAAUCUACAGGAUGACAGAUGUAAUCUACUCCUCCGUUAGGAUGAUAGAUGUAAUCUACAGGAUGAUAGAUGUAAUCUACUCCUCCGUUAUGAUGACAGAUGUAAUCUACUCCUCCAUUAGGAUGAUAGAUGUAAUCUACUCCUCCAUUAGGAUGACAGAUGUAAUCUACUCCUCCGUUAGGAUGAUAGAUGUAAUCUACUCCUCUGUUAGGAUGAUAGAUGUAAUCUACAGGAUGACAGAUGUAAUCCACUCCUCCGUUAUGAUGACAGAUGUAAUCCACUCCUCCGUUAGGAUGACAGAUGUAAUCUACUCCUCCGUUAGGAUGACAGAUGUAAUCUACUCCUCCGUUAUGAUGAUAGAUCUAAUCUACAGGAUGACAGAUGUAAUCUACUCCUCCGUUAGGAUGACAGAUGUAAUCCACUCCUCCGUUAGGAUGAUAGAUGUAAUCUACUCCUCCAUUAGGAUGAUAGCUUUAAUCUACAGGAUGAUAGAUGUAAUCUACUCCUCCAUAAUCAUAACAUUCUAGUACACAGUCAAAUACUGAAGACUGGGAUUAAACACAUUGCACAAACAUUAUUUUGUAAACUUCAAGGAGUUCACACUCCAGGCCAUGGUUGACCAGGUUGAAGUUCUGGCCCUAGGCCUUGAUUUGUUUUCAGUGUGGUGGAGUUGAUCAGCUCUUCGAGGUAACCCAAAGUGGCAGGAAACCUGUAUAUCCUCAACACGGUUGAUAAGGAUUUUGUACAAAGCUUAUUUAUCUGUUUACCCAUACAGUAUCCCAGUGAAACUUAAGUCAUACACAGUGCAAAGUGUGUGUGUGUGUAUGUAUGAGUUUGUGCCUGUGAAGAACUGUGUGUGAUAAUUGGCACUUUAGGAAGUUGAGUAGAACUACCCUGUGACAUUAACUACAUUUUAGUGGUUGUUUUGGCAUGUCUGUAAAUCUAUUGUCACAGCAAAUAUUACGAACAGAUACAAACGUGUACUUGUCUAGAAUGUUACUAGCUCUGUAGGUAUGAAAACAUUAGAUUUUUUUUUUUUAAACGAGGCUAGAUUAAAAUCCGGAAGAUCAUCUUUGUAGCGUGUUUGACAUGUAAACGGCAUUUCUGAUUGACCUGACAUAUGCAGCGUUUACCGUGAAUGAUGUCUCCACGAAUGCAGGAACAUUGCCUUUUUAAAUGUCAACCUCGCUAUAACGUGGACCUUCCAGCGCUCCCGGAUUGAAUCUAGGCGGUAGCCUUUAAAAUCUGUGUCAUGUAAAUUCCAUCCACAUCCAUUCAGAGCUUAUAUGACCCUUCAUACACCCCAAAAGCAUAGAUUAAUUUGCUUUAAAAAAUAUAUAUAUAACCUACAUCUUCUUUCUGUGCCCAAAAGCUAAAGGAAGAACACAUUCCACGUUGCGAAAAGGUAGACAUGGAAGGGCCAGAGUUGUUUUUGGGAUGGAUUGGUUGGGGGGGAGAAGCUGUGGUGGGGGCUGGCUAACUGGUUUCUGAGGGGUUGAGGUGGGUGCUGGCAGGGUUCUGUUAUAAAUGUUAUAGUAGGUAAAUCACAUUACUAGUUUUGAAGAUUUACAGUACCAGUCAAAUGUUUGUACACACCUACUCAUUCAAGGAGUUUUCCUAUUUUAUUGUAUAUACAUAGUAGGAUAAUACUGAAAUAACACAUAUGGAAUCAUGAAGUAACCAAAAAAAAGUUUAAAAUAAAUCAAAAUAAAUUUGAGAUUCUUCAAAGUAGCCACCCUUUGCCUUGAUGACAGCUUUGCACACUCUUGGCAUUCUCUCAACCAGCUUCAUGAGGUAGUCACCUGGAAUGCAUUUCAAUGAACAGGUUUGCCUUCUUAAAAGUUAAUUUAUGGAACUUAUUUCCUUUUAUUAUACACCCCGAGAGGCUCCUAUUUACAUUGACAAGCAUACGAGAAACCUUUUAAUUAUACACCAACCUGCGAUUGUGUUAAUAAGAUGAACAUAUAUCUAUCAGCCAGCUAAGAUACAGCUUGCUAUAUUAGCUCAUUGCCCCAGAGAAAAUAGCUAGGUAAGCAGUUAGUACAAAUAGUAGUUGUACUUGCUAUAACAUGUAACAUUUGCUAGUUAGAUGAUUCAAAACAUUAGCCAACUAGCUAAACAGCCAGCAAAGAUGCAGCUAGCUAGCUAAGAUAUAGCGUGCUAUUUUAGCUCAUUGUUCCAGAGAAAAUAGCUAGCUAAGCAGUUAGUUAAGGUAGUAGCUGUACUUGCUGCAUUAUGUAGUUAGAUUAAAAAAAAAGCAUUAGCUAAAUGGCCAGCCAAUCUACAGCUAGCUAGCAAGCAAGCUAAGUUAGCUCUUUUGAAAAGAUAACUAACCAGCAAAGUAGUUAAACUCAUUUAUAGAGUGCCUUAAGAAAGUACUCCCAUGUGGCGCAGUGGUUUAAGGCACUGCAUCUCAGUGCUAGAGGCGUCACUACAGACCCUGGUUCGAUUCCACAACUUGCAGUGAUUGGGAGUCCCAUAGGGCGGCGCACAAUUGGCCCAGCGUCGUUAGGGUUUGGCCGGGGUAGGCCAUCGUUGUAAAUAAAAUAUUAAAAAGUAUUCAUACCACUUGACUUAUUCCACAUUUUGUUGUGUUACAGCCUGAAUUCAAAAUGGAUAAAAUAGAUUGUAGAAAACUUUUGAAAAAUGAAAUACAGAAAUAUCUAAUUUACAUAAGUAUUCACACCCUAGGAAGGACGCAUAUAUCUAUGUAGUGACUGGGUGUAUUGAUACACCAUCCAAAGUGUAAUUAUUAACUUCACCAUGCUCAACGGGAUAUUCAAUGUCUGCUUUUUUUACCCAUCUACCAAUAGGUGCCCUUCUUUGUGAGGCAUUGGAAAACCUCCCUGGUCUUUGUGGUUGAAUCUGUGUUUGAAAUUCACUAGUCGACUGAGGGAAGUUACAUAUAAUUGUAUGUGUGGGGUACAGAGAUGAGGUAAUCAUUAAACAUUCAUGUUUAACACUAUUUUUGCACACAGUGAAUCCAUGCAACUUAUUAUUUGACUUGUUAAGCACAUUUGUUCUCCUGAACUUAUUUAGGUUUGCCUUAAAAUAAUUAUCUCUUAAGGAUACGCCCCUUUCCCCCCCAUUUUUGCCUACAAUGAUAUACCCAAAUCUAACUGCCUGUAGCUCAGGCCCUGAAGCAAGGACAUGCAUAUUAUUGGUACCAUUUGAAAGGAAGCACUUUGAAGUUUGUGGAAAUGUGAAAGGAAUGUGGGAGAAUAUAACACGUUAGAUCUGGUAAAAGAUAAAUCCCCCCCCAAAAAAUGUUUUUUUUUUGUACCAUCUUUGAAAUGCAGGAGAAAGGACAUAAUGUAUUAUUCCAGCCCAGGUGCAAUUUAGAUGUUGGCCACACUGGCAGCAGUGUAUGUGCAACGUUUUAGACUGAUCCAAUGAACCAUUGUAUUUCUGUUCCAAAUGUUGUAUCAAGACUGCCCAAAUGUGCCUAAUUUGUUUAUGAAUAACUUUUCAUGUUCAAAAUUGUGCACUCUCCUCAAACAAUAGCAUGGUAUUCUUUCACUGUAAAUUGAACAGUGCAGUUAGAUUAACAAGAGUUUAAGCUUUCUGCCAAUAUCAGAUAUGUCUAUGUCUUGGGAUAUGUUCUUGUUACUUACAACCUCAUGCUAAUCGCAUUAGCCUACGUUAGCUCAACCGUCCCCAAAUAGGUUUUUAACAAAGGGGUGGAAUACUUGUCUCAAGACAUUUCACCUUUUCAUUAAUUUUUAAAAACAUAAUUCCACUUCGACAUUAUGGGUUAUUGUGUGUGACACAAUCUCAAUUUAAUCCAUUUUAAAUUCAGGCUGUAACACAACAAAAUGUGGAAAAAGUCAAGGGGUGUGAAUACUUUCUGAGGGCCAUGCAUGUCAGACUGUAUAAUUUGGAAAUAGUCUUGUCAUUUUAGUGUUUUAUAUAUUAGCCAGUAUAAUAAAAACAUGUUAUUGCCAUUUUGUGUAAAAAAAAUUUUUGCUUACCUUAGUGAUGUGCUAACAUUAGCUAGAUAUGUAUAACUAAUCCAAGAUACAUCCUGUCAUUUCCAAUGGUAGCAAAUGAACCAUAGUGGGAAGAACAGGCAAGGAGGUGGGGAGAGCAAAGCAAGAUUAUAUUGGCGCGUUCUAGAAUGUAUUUGGA
rnacentral:lncRNA from 1 species